UACGAAGGGGGCUAGCGUUGUUCGGAUUUACUGGGCGUAAAGCGCACGUAGGCGGAUCGUUAAGUCGGGGGUGAAAGCCUGUGGCUCAACCACAGAAUUGCCUUCGAUACUGUUUGGCUUGAGACCGGAAGAGGUUAGUGGAACUGCGAGUGUAGAGGUGAAAUUCGUAGAUAUUCGCAAGAACACCAGUGGCGAAGGCGGCUGACUGGUCCGGUUCUGACGCUGAGGCGCGAAAGCGUGGGGAGCAAACAGG
rnacentral:rRNA from 1 species